rnacentral:rRNA from 1 species
CCUACGGGUGGCAGCAGUGGGGAAUAUUGGACAAUGGGCGAAAGCCUGAUCCAGCCAUGCCGCGUGUGUGAAGAAGGCCUUCGGGUUGUAAAGCACUUUCAGUGGGGAAGAAAGCCUUGGGGCUAAUACCCUCGAGGAAGGACAUCACCCACAGAAGAAGCACCGGCUAACUCCGUGCCAGCAGCCGCGGUAAUACGGAGGGUGGGAGCGUUAAUCGGAAUUACUGGGCGUAAAGCGCGCGUAGGCGGUCUGAUAAGCCGGUUGUGAAAGCCCCGGGCUCAACCUGGGAACGGCAUCCGGAACUGUCAGGCUAGAGUGCAGGAGAGGAAGGUAGAAUUCCCGGUGUAGCGGUGAAAUGCGUAGAGAUCGGGAGGAAUACCAGUGGCGAAGGCGGCCUUCUGGACUGACACUGACGCUGAGGUGCGAAAGCGUGGGUAGCAAACAGGAUUAGAUACCCGGGUAGUC